rnacentral:lncRNA from 1 species
GCUCGCAUAAAUAGAUAAUCAAGUAAACAAUUACAAGCUAAUAGAUGUAAACAUGUUAACAUUCACCAAUAAGUUCACAAAAUCAAGUAUCAAUCUUAAUUAAGAUCUUAGCCCUUAUAACCACAUAGUAGGAUCGACUAGGUAGAUAAGGAGUUAUAACGGUAGGCACAGGGUGCCGAACGGUAGGCUCCGAGGCCAAAACUGUGAUAGCAGGGCUCUGUGG